CCGGCACGGGUGAGUAACACGUAUCCAACCUGCCGUCUACUCUUGGACAGCCUUCUGAAAGGAAGAUUAAUACAAGAUGGCAUCAUGAGUCCGCAUGUUCACAUGAUUAAAGGUGUUCCGGUAGACGAUGGGGAUGCGUUCCAUUAGAUAGUAGGCGGGGUAACGGCCCACCUAGUCUUCGAUGGAUGGGGGUUCUGAGAGGAAGGUCCCCCACAUUGGAACUGAGACACGGUCCAA
rnacentral:rRNA from 1 species